rnacentral:sRNA from 1 species
AUUUAAACGGGAUUGAAGUGAUAUACUUUUUUGUUUCACAGGUUCUUACAACCUCGAGAUGCAUGUUACAAAAAAGAUUUAACGUAAAGCCCGGCUAACA